AGGAGAGGAGAGACAAGACGAGAAGAGAAGAGAAGAGAAGUAGAGGCCAGUCCAGGACCCAAGACUAUAGAAUGGUGUCACCCACAGUUGGGGUUGGUCUUUCUACCUCAAUUAACCUAAACUUCCUACCUCAGUUAACCCAGGCUAGACUCCCCUUUACAUACAUGCUCCCAGAGGCUCGUCAAGUGGACAAUAUUAACUACCAAACCAUGUAAAUAGACAAACAGUAAACAUCAUGGAACCUACUCUCUAGCACAGAGGUGAGCCACACGCUAAGGCAGGAGUCUGCAGACAUCGGCAAACAGCGGGGUAUAAAUACUGAGACUGUGUGUGAGAUGUAACUGCAGCACUGUGAUCUGUGAUCAUCUGAGCCGUUGGCCAAGCAGAGCAAAACAAGGACACUGUACAGUCGCUGCUGCGGUGGCGGCUGCGGCAGCGACGAUGGCGGUGGCGGUGGCUGCUGCUUCUCAACGCAGUCACCAACAGCGUAUAACUGAACAAGCAUGGCUGUGCUGUAAUAAAACUUUAUUCAUAGAUAUUGGAA